GAUGAACGCUAGCUACAGGCUUAACACAUGCAAGUCGAGGGGCAGCAUGGUCUUAGCUUGCUAAGGCCGAUGGCGACCGGCGCACGGGUGAGUAACGCGUAUCCAACCUGCCUUACACUCUUGGACAGCCUUCUGAAAGGGAGAUUAAUACAAGAUGUUAUCAUGAGUAAGCAUUUUCGCAUGAUUAAAGGUUUACCGGUGUAAGAUGGGGAUGCGUUCCAUUAGAUAGUAGGCGGGGUAACGGCCCACCUAGUCUUCGAUGGAUAGGGGUUCUGAGAGGAAGGUCCCCCACAUUGGAACUGAGACACGGUCCAAACUCCUACGGGAGGCAGCAGUGAGGAAUAUUGGUCAAUGGACGAGAGUCUGAACCAGCCAAGUAGCGUGAAGGAUGAAGGUUCUAUGGAUUGUAAACUUCUUUUAUACGGGAAUAAACGGAUCCACGUGUGGAUUUUUGCAUGUACCGUAUGAAUAGGGAUCGGCUAACUCCGUGCCAGCAGCCGCGGUAAUACGGAGGACCCGAGCGUUAUCCGGAUUUAUUGGGUUUAAAGGGAGCGUAGAUGGGUUGUUAAGUCAGUUGUGAAAGUUUGCGGCUCAACCGUAAAAUUGCAAUUGAUACUGGCAGUCUUGAGUACAGUUGAGGUAGGCGGAAUUCGUGGUGUAGCGGUGAAAUGCUUAGAUAUCACGAAGAACUCCGAUUGCGAAGGCAGCUUACUAACCUGUAACUGACAUUGAUGCUCGAAAGUGUGGGUAUCAAACAGGAUUAGAUACCCUGGUAGUCCACACGGUAAACGAUGAAUACUCGCUGUAGGCGAUAUACAGUCUGCGGCCAAGCGAAAGCAUUAAGUAUUCCACCUGGGGAGUACGCCGGCAACGGUGAAACUCAAAGGAAUUGACGGGGGCCCGCACAAGCGGAGGAACAUGUGGUUUAAUUCGAUGAUACGCGAGGAACCUUACCCGGGCUUAAAUUGCAACCGAAUAUGGCGGAAACGCUAUAGCUAGCAAUAGCGGUUGUGAAGGUGCUGCAUGGUUGUCGUCAGCUCGUGCCGUGAGGUGUCGGCUUAAGUGCCAUAACGGGCGCAACCCUUGCCGAUAGUUACUAACAGGUUAUGCUGAGGACUCUGUCGGGACUGCCAUCGUAAGAUGUGAGGAAGGUGGGGAUGACGUCAAAUCAGCACGGCCCUUACGUCCGGGGCUACACACGUGUUACAAUGGGGGGUACAGAGGGCUGCUACCACGCAAGUGGAUGCCAAUCCCAAAAACCUCUCUCAGUUCGGAUUGAAGUCUGCAAACCCGACUUCAUGAAGCUGGAUUCGCUAGUAAUCGCGCAUUCAAGCCACGGCGCGGUGAAUACGGUUCCCGGCCC
rnacentral:rRNA from 1 species